rnacentral:tRNA from 1 species
AGCCUUAUAGUCAAAAAUGAUUUUAGACUGCAACUCUAAAGGUGUAGAUUUACUAAGGUUU